rnacentral:lncRNA from 1 species
CAUCCAAUUCCAUUUAUUUGCUAUAUCUAUUUGUUCUGAUCAAUUUAAAUUACUCUUAUAUCUUAUAGUUUGAAUUACUAGAUUUUUAAUUUCCAAUCUGAAUCUCGGUAUCUAUUGAAAGAAUCAAAUCAAUAAACGAAAAGCGAUAGAUAUAGGCAGAUUCAAAAAAUCCCGUAGUAAUCUUUUUUUUAAACAUUUCCAAGAAGUAAUUGAGUAAACCAUUGAUAGUACUUCCACGGGCAUCGAAAAGGAGGAGUAAACCUCACCGAUUAUUAACGCAUGAACCAUAAUAUGAAAUAAGUCGAUAAAGCAUAUAUCCAAUUUCAAAAAUUCGAAAGCGGUAAAUGUGCAAUAUGUGGCUCACCUGAAGAUCUUAUUGUGCAUAGUAUCUCGUUAGACAACCACUAUGUUUAUAUCCUUUCUUUCUCAUACAAAGUGUGUACGCACUUAACAAAACCACCUCUUCUUUGAACAGUAAAGAGAGAAACAAAUAAAAAAGAUAUUUUUAUUUAAAUUUUAUUUAGAAUUUUCUUUUUUAUUCAUAAAUAAAAAAAAAGUAAUAAAUACAAAAAAUAGAAAUAAUAAGGAAGAGUAGGAUUUUUGCAGGGAAUGAUUGGUCCGUCAGAAAAGGAAAAAGGUGUGAAAUUCAUAGAAAUAAUAAGGAAGAGUAGGAUUUUUGCAGGGAAUGAUUGGUCCGUCAGAAAAGGAAAAAGUUGUGAAAUUCAAUUUCUUUCAGUUUCAUUUGAUUCAUUGUUAAGACGAGAUAUCCUUAUCUCCCUCCCACCAAGAUAGGAAAUUAACCUACGAGAAAUCUAGUAAGUGGGAUCAAGAAGAAAAUUCUUUUUUCUCCAAGAAUUUAGUUCAGGAGACAAGUAAAAUCUCUUCAUUCCAUGAUUCGAUGAAAUAUCUUGAAAUUUAUGUUGAAUUGCUAGGUGUAUGUACAUGUAUCAAUCAAGUGAAUUUUGUUC